UGUUGCCUGUGCUGUUAGCCAGUCCUUACAUUCUUGAGCCGAUGUAUUUAUAUCGGGAGCGUAGAUACUUGUUUUAGCGUGCAUGCUCAGCCUGACUGAGAAGCCCAACGAACAGCAAACGCACCCACUUGGUUCUUGAGGGUUCAAGAGCCAUGUAAGCAGCGGCAGAUAUGGGCGGCAC
rnacentral:other from 1 species